CACGUAGGGCGCGAGCGUUGUCCGGAAUUAUUGGGCGUAAAGAGCUCGUAGGCGGCCUGUUGCGUCCGCUGUGAAAGCCCGGGGCUUAACCCCGGGUCGGCAGUGGAUACGGGCAGGCUAGAGGUAGGUAGGGGAGAAUGGAAUUCCCGGUGUAACGGUGAAAUGCGCAGAUAUCGGGAGGAACACCGGUGGCGAAGGCGGUUCUCUGGGCCUUACCUGACGCUGAGACGCGAAAGCGUGGGGAGCGAACAGG
rnacentral:rRNA from 1 species